CGCGGGGCGCCAGCUUCUGGUAUUUUCGACACGUCUGCCGCGACCCCGUUCAGUUCGCUUUUGUACGUUGGACGUCGGAGGUGGAGGUUGUGAGUCCGCCGUUCAGGAGAAGCAGCGAAAAGCCUCUCUCCGUCCUUAACUGGAGAAGGAAGGCGUCCGCUGGGCCUUUCUCUCCUUGAGUGAGGCGUCGACGGCCCGUGGAACUGAGUUCUCGGGCAGGGGUCGUCAGAGCAAAGGAAGCUCGGAAGCUGCCGUCCGAGAUGUCCAGCUACGUGAACGACCUGUGGCCGGGCUCGCCGCACAAGGCCUCCCCAUCGUCGUCGCGGUCGGGCCCGUCCAGCCGGCUGUCCUCGGCGUCCGGGAGCCGCUCUCCCCCGAGCUCUCCGUCCCGAUCCAUCGUCUCGACUCGGUCGUGGUCGCGGAGCCGCAGCCGCAGCCCGCCCCGGCGGAGGAGCAGGUCGAGGUGUCGCUCCCGAAGGCGCCACCGGAGGAGGUACCGGCGCUACUCGCGCUCGUACUCGCGGAGCCGCUCGUACUCGCGGAGCCGCUCGCGCCCCCGCAGCCGCCGGUACCGGGAGAGGCACCACGGCUCCUCCAGGAGGUCCUACCGGUCCCUCAGCCGCCCCCGCUCCCGAGGCCGCUCGCCUUACCGGAGGGCCUACGCCUUCGCGCGGGACCGCCCGUACUACGGCUUCGGCCGCACCGUCUACCCGGAGGAGCGCAGAGGCUGGAGGGGGCGAUCCCGGACCAGGUCGCGCAGCCCAACCCCAUUUCGUCUGAGUGAGAAGGAUCGAAUGGAGCUGUUAGAAAUAGCAAAAGCCAAUGCCGCAAAAGCAUUAGGAACAGCCAACUUUGACUUGCCAGCCAGUCUCAGAACUGUUUCUGUAUCUAAAGAAACCAACCGUGGAACAGCUGUACUGAAUAAUGGUGCAAAGUCUGAGAAAUCAUGAAUGUGGUCUCCAGACAUUGAUGAAGAAAAUCUGUUGGUAAUUGAUACAUGUGCAAAAGCAUCAGAGGUUUAACUAAUUUGAAGUUUAUGUUGACACACUGAAAGCUUAGUUUUUUGUUGGUAGAUCCCUAUGCAUGCUAGAAUUUGGGACAGGUACUAAACUAAACAAAAGUGUACUUUGUAAUGGUGGGGCAUCUGAUAUAGAUGUCCCUUUCAUAAUAUAUGCAAUAUAUUCCAGAUGUUUUGAGAGAUUACAGAAGAAGAGGCCUGCUUCACUUGCAGAUAAGUUUAUUACAAUUCUCCAGAAAUGUGCAGCAUAAAAUUCAUAGCUUAAAGGUUUAAGGUAGUUAGGAAUUGAUAACACUCAGUUAACAUAGGAAAGAUGGGUUAUCUCCUGUCAUUCAUAUCCAGAUGUGGGUUUGCCUAAGUAUUAGUGGUGGACAAAAAAGAUCUUAGUUCAGUCGCUUUUUCAGACGGUUAGGUUCCCAACUGGAUGGGCAAAUGCCUUAGUUCUUUGAAACUAGGUGUUUUCUGGUAUGACUUGACUUUCAAAGUUACUUGAAUUUGCAUCGGGGGAUACAAUACUCCUUUAUGGGGAAGAGUGUCUUAAGCCUAUCAUUGAAUCAGUUUUGUUAUGGGGAAAACUCAACAGAGUACUAUGUUAUUUAUUUUAGGAUGUUAACUAUUUGGUUACAUCCAACUUGAUUUGUGUCUCUACAAGUGAAUUUGUAAUACAGUUGGGCUGCUUUUUAUACCUACGAGGGUAUGGUUUUUUAAAAUGUACUUUCUCUUACCUGUCUAGCUGUCGGAUAAGUUAAUAGAAGAUGAAACAGAAAAUCCCAACGAGAAGUCUUCCCAGCAAAAAAGCAUAGCUUUUAGCUCUAAUAAUUCUGUAGCAAAGCCAUUGCUUCAGAAAUCAGCUAAAGCUACUGCUGAAGAGACCUCUUCAGGA